rnacentral:rRNA from 1 species
UCGGGAAUAUUGGGCAAUGGGCGCAAGCCUGACCCAGCGACGCCGCGUGAGGGAUGAAGGCCUUCGGGUCGUAAACCUCUGUCGGGAGGGAAGAAUGGCGAUGAGACGAAUAGCCUCGUUGUCUGACGGUACCUCCAAAGGAAGCGCCGGCUAACUCCGUGCCAGCAGCCGCGGUAAUACGGAGGGCGCAAGCGUUGUUCGGAAUCACUGGGCGUAAAGCGCGUGUAGGCGGCCGGGCAAGUCGGAUGUG